CACGUGAUAGCAGGGCAUUGGGUAAAGUUUUAAUGACUAAAUGAAUUUUUAUUAAAACAUUAUCUUCAGAUGUCUCCAGCCUAUUCUCUACCACGAUACUUCCUCUUCAAAACACAACUACUCUUCUUCUUUCCUUCAUUGCUCCACUUUCCAUCCACCAUAACUCAAAGUUUAUUAAUCCUUUUGUUAAAUAGGAACCUCCUAAACAAUCUGGGAGCUUAGAGUUUUGUUUCCAUCCGAUCAAACCCUCUUUUCUUCAACUGGUAAAAAAACCCCACUUUCCAUUUCCUUAGGGCUAUAAACAUGCAACAAGUUUGAUUGCAUGUGACCCAUUGCUCCUUCUUUCAAUUUGUAAUUGUUACUGUGCUCUAAAAUUUUUAUUUUAUCAUCAAUUGAUGAUUUAUAGGCACUGUUAGGAUUUCCCUGAGACGCGGGGCAAUAUCGUUCACCUAUGAGCUUAACUGUUGGAGUUAGAGUAGCUGAUGAUGUACCACUGGAGCGCGCAUUGGAGAACGAAGAAGAACCGGCCCUGAUGCUUAGGAAUUCAACUAGCUCUUAGUUUAGAGAACUCUUUAUUUUGAAAAGACUUCUAGUUUUUAUUUUAUCCUGGUCUAUAUUUUGAAAACACUCUUUAGGUCUCCUUGAACCUUUAUUCAGUUAUGUAUUUUG